ACAGCUCCACAAGUUUGAAGAAGUGGGGACUGUCUGCAAGAAAAGUUAAACCAGAAACUGUGCCAACAACACAACCAGCAAAAGCGAAUUGUCAGGCUGAAACUGUACAUCAUACAAAUGGAAACAGAGGUGGAGACUUUAAGAUUCACGUAGGAAUGAUGCUCAGAUGCUCUAAGACCAUGAAAAUCACAUAGCAAAACCAAAGGAGGAGAUUGGCCAGACACAGAAAAAAUAUUGCUGUGCACAGGAGGUGCUUUUAGAAGAGCAGUCUCAGCUCAAAAUUCUCCAGUUGAACUUGGCUGCAGCUGAAAAACAGAUAAAACACCACACGAGUCAGGGAGAAAAUAUAAGAACUAAGGGAAAGUUUUUUCCAUUCUCAUGUGGAAGGAGAUUAUGGCAGGCAUCAUCUCAUAACUACUUCUUCUAUCUGUCACUCUAUUGCCUGUUCUGCUGUUGCUGGAACUGGACCAACAAUGGUAAGUUAUCACUUUAUUCUUUUACCAGCAUGGUGAGCUAAUGUUUGUGUUUGAUGUAUCUUACUUAAAACACAAUUUAAUUCGUUAAACUGGAAUCCUCAAGAACCUCACUUACAUGCCACAUAACCCUAAGCUCUGA
rnacentral:lncRNA from 1 species